rnacentral:rRNA from 1 species
GCAAAUCAAUAUAAAUUGAUUAGUAUUUAUUUAUUAAUUUAUUUUUUUUUAUUUAUAAUUUAUUAAAAAUAAUUAUAUAAUUUAAUGUUUUAGUAGUUUUUAAUGAAAAAAUAAUAUUAAUAAUAGUUUAUUAAGUAUUGUGAAGAUAAUUGAAAUAAUUUGAAAAAUUAUUAUUUUAAAAGAAAAUUUUAUUUAUUGUACCUUGUGUAUCAGGGUUUAUUAAAUAAUUAAUAAUUAUUUUAUUGAUCUCGAUUUUAUAAGAGUUAAUUAUUUAUUAAAGUUAAUGUGUCAAAAUUAUUUUAAAUAAAUAAUUAGAAAUGAAAUGUUAUUCGUUUAUAAAGGUAUCUAGUUUUUUUAGAAAUAGAUUUAAUUUACAAAUUUUUAAUUUUUUAUUUAUUUAUUUAAAUGAGAAAAUUAUUAAUUUGAAUAUUUUAAGGGAUAAGCUUUAAAAUAAAUUAUUAAAAAUUAGUAAUGUUAAUAUAAAAUGUAUGAAUAGAAUUUUCAAUCAUUUAUAAAUUUGUUAUAAAUUAUUUUAUAAUUUAUAUUAUUUACUAUUAUUUUAAAUUUUUAUAAAAAUUUUUUCAUAAAUUUUUUAUGAAAAUAAAUAAUGAUAAAAUUAGUAUAUAUUCAUAUAGUAUAUAUAAUUUUAUUUGAUAAGUUUAUAUAAAGAACUCGGCAAAUUUAUAUACUCGCCUGUUUAACAAAAACAUGUCUUUUUGAGUUAUUUUUAAAGUCUGACCUGCCCACUGAAUAAUUUUGAAUGGCCGCAGUAUUUUAACUGUGCAAAGGUAGCAUAAUCAUUAGUCUUUUAAUUGGAGGCUGGUAUGAAUGGUUGGACGAAGUAUAAGCUGUUUCAUGUAAAUUUGUUAUAGAAUUUUAUAUUUUAGUUAAAAAGCUAAAAUUUAAUUAAAAGACGAGAAGACCCUAUAAAUCUUUAUAUUUAAUAUUAUUUUAAUUUUUUAGAUAUAUUUUAUUUUAAUAAUAUUAAAUAUUUUGUUGGGGUGAUGUUAAAAUUUAAUAAACUUUUAAUUAUUAAAAAUCAUUAAUUUAUGAUUUAUUGAUCCGUUAAUAACGAUUAUAAGAUUAAGUUACUUUAGGGAUAACAGCGUAAUUUUUUUGGAGAGUUCUUAUCGAUAAAAAAGUUUGCGACCUCGAUGUUGGAUUAAGAAAUAUUUUUAGGUGUAGCUGCUUAAAUAUUAAGUCUGUUCGACUUU